rnacentral:misc_RNA from 1 species
UGUAGGAGUGAGCCUGCUCGCGAUAGCGGUAUGUCAGGUUAAGAAAUGUCGGCUGACACACCGCUAUCGCGAGCAGGCUCACUCCUACA